rnacentral:rRNA from 1 species
AAAUUGAAGAGUUUGAUCAUGGCUCAGAUUGAACGCUGGCGGCAGGCCUAACACAUGCAAGUCGAACGGUAACAGGAAACAGCUUGCUGUUUCGCUGACGAGUGGCGGACGGGUGAGUAAUGUCUGGGAAACUGCCUGAUGGAGGGGGAUAACUACUGGAAACGGUAGCUAAUACCGCAUAAUGUCGCAAGACUAAAGAGGGGGACCUUCGGGCCUCUUGCCAUCGGAUGUGCCCAGAUGGGAUUAGCUAGUAGGUGGGGUAACGGCUCACCUAGGCGACGAUCCCUAGCUGGUCUGAGAGGAUGACCAGCCACACUGGAACUGAGACACGGUCCAGACUCCUACGGGAGGCAGCAGUGGGGAAUAUUGCACAAUGGGCGCAAGCCUGAUGCAGCCAUGCCGCGUGUAUGAAGAAGGCCUUCGGGUUGUAAAGUACUUUCAGCGGGGAGGAAGGGAGUAAAGUUAAUACCUUUACUCAUUGACGUUACCCGCAGAAGAAGCACCGGCUAACUCCGUGC